rnacentral:lncRNA from 1 species
CUUACUGGUGUCACUGGGAUCCAUACAGGUUUUACUGGUGUCACUGGGAUCCAUACUGGGAGCACUGGUUUCCCUUUUCCCCCAUACUGGUGUCACUGGGACCCUUACUGGGAGCACUGGGGUCCGUACUGGUGUCACUGGGUCCAUACUGGUGUCACGGGGAAGGGACUGGGAGUCUUACUGGGAGCACUGGGAGCUGUAGGAGCCAGACUGGGGGCACUGGGAUCCCCCUCACCCCAUACUGGUGUCACUGGGAAGGGACUGGGAGCUGUACUGGUGUCACUGGGAGCACUGGGAGCCUUACUGGUGUCACUGGGAUCCAUACUGGGAGGAGUGGGGUGUCACUGGGAUCCAUACUGGUGUCACUGGGAGCCUUACUGGUGCUACUGGGAGCCUUACUGGUGUCACUGGGAUCCAUACUGGUGUUACUGGUGUCACUGGGAGCCUUACUGGUGUUACUGGGAGCACUGGGAGCCUUACUGGUGUCACUGGGGUCCAUACUGGUGUCACGGGGGUCCAUACUGGUGCUACUGGGACCCAUACUGGUGUCACUGGGAGCCAUACUGGUGUCACUGGGAAGGGACUGGGAGCCUUACUGGUGUCACUGGGGUCCAUACUGGUGCUACUGGGAUCCUUACUGGUGUUACUGGUGUCCCUGGGAGCCUUACUGGUGUCACUGGGAUGGGACUGGGAGCCUUACUGGUGUUACUGGGAGCACUGGGAGCCUUACUGGUGUCACUGGGGUCCAUACUGGUGUCACUGGGAUGGGACUGGGAUCCUUACUGGUGUUACUGGUGUCCCUGGGAGCCUUACUGGUGUUACUGGGACCCAUACUGGUGUCACUGGGACCCAUACUGGUGUCACUGGUGUCCCUACUGGUGUUACUGGUGUCCCUGGGAGCCUUACUGGUCCCACUGGGGUCCUUACUGGUCCCACUGGGGCCGUUACCGGUCUCACUGGGCUCCGCACCUCUCUCCCCCUCCCCCCUCCCGCUCCCAACUGGUUCCAACUGGUCCCAACUGGUCCCAACUGGUCCCAACUGGGAUCCCCCCAGUCCCUGCGCCGGGGGGGGAGGGGCACCAUCAGCGGCUACUUCCUGGCGGGGCGGAG